rnacentral:rRNA from 1 species
GCUGCGGCAUGCUUUACUACAUAGCAAGUCGGACGGCAGGCACAGACGAAGGCUUGGCGUUCUUUGGGUGGGACGAGUGGCGAACGGGUGAGUAACAUAUCGGAACGUACCGGGCGAUGGGGGAUAACUAAUCGAAAGAUUAGCUAAUACCGCAUAGUUUUCUGAGGAAGAAAGCAGGGGACCAUUUGGCCUUGCGCUGUUUGAGCGGCCGAUAUCUGAUUAGCUAGUUGUGGGGUAAAGGCCUACCAAGGCGACGAUCAGUAGCGGGUCUGAGAGGAUGAUCCGCCACACUGGGACUGAGACACGGCCCAGACUCCUACGGGAGGCAGCAGUGGGGAAUUUUGGACAAUGGGCGCAAGCCUGAUCCAGCCAUGCCGCGUGUCUGAAGAAGGCCUUCGGGUUGUAAAGGACCUUUGUCAGGGAAGAAAAGGGCGGGGUUAAUACCCCCUGUCUGAUGACGGUACCUGAAGAAUAAGCACCGGCUAACUACGUG